rnacentral:rRNA from 1 species
UCGCAGUGACUGCGGAGGACAUUACCGAGUGCGGGCUGCCUCCGGGCGCCCAACCUCCCACCCGUGACUACCUAACACUGUUGCUUCGGCGGGGAGCCCUCUCGGGGGCGAGCCGCCGGGGACUACUGAACUUCAUGCCUGAGAGUGAUGCAGUCUGAGUCUGAAUAUAAAAUCAGUCAAAACUUUCAACAAUGGAUCUCUUGGUUCCGGCAUCGAUGAAGAACGCAGCGAACUGCGAUAAGUAAUGUGAAUUGCAGAAUUCAGUGAAUCAUCGAGUCUUUGAACGCACAUUGCGCCCCCUGGCAUUCCGGGGGGCAUGCCUGUCCGAGCGUCAUUGCUGCCCAUCAAGCCCGGCUUGUGUGUUGGGUCGUCGUCCCCCCCGGGGGACGGGCCCGAAAGGCAGCGGCGGCACCGUGUCCGGUCCUCGAGCGUAUGGGGCUUUGUCACCCGCUCGAUUAGGGCCGGCCGGGCGCCAGCCGACGUCUCCAACCAUUUUCUUCAGGUUGACCUCGGAUCAGGUAGGGAUACCCGCUGAACUUAAGCAUAUCAAAA